AUAUAAUAUAUAUUUACAAAAAUAUACGAGAGAAAAAGGGUCUUUCCUAAAAUAUCUCGCUUAUUUCGUACGAUAGAAAAAAAAUGUCAAA
rnacentral:lncRNA from 1 species